GUCGACUGGCUUGGUGAGCAGCAGAUCUCCAAACACCUUCUUAAAGUGCGUUGCCAUAUUCCUCUGUUGGACCACACUGCAGUGGUCCUCGAUGGACAAGAUCACAGGAUACCUGCACAAACACAACAGCAGUGUUUCACCUCAUCAAGUUGUAGCAUCGGCUCAGGAUGCGGUCCACCCCUCAUGUACCCCAUGAGGAACUCUCUGACACGACUCAGAUCUGACGCCCAGGAGUCCUGAGACAGAGCCGGAUAAAGAAAGAAACUGGUAGAAGGACAACAGCGAAGACAAGGAAGUGGACACUGAGGAAGAGGUGGAGGGACUCACCGCAGGGGGAAGGAGAGUUCCAGCUGCUCAAUAAUCUGGGAACAAAAGGGGAGGAACCAGGUGAUGGACAGGAGAUGGCGCUGUAUGGUUUGAAGAGCUAAAUGUCAACGUCAGGAUUCUACAUUUCCAGGCCAAGAGUGAGGACUCCUGUAAAGUUUUCAUUGUUUAGGCUUGGAGGGGAUGGCUAGAAGGGGACAUGUCAUGUCCUGGACAUAGAGGACAAACAGCAUAUGGAUAAUCGCUUUUACUGAUUGACAAAACACAUGCAACCAUCAAUCGUUAGUAACAGAAUGAGGAAGGAAGCGAGAAAAGCAGGUAGAAAAAGAAAUAAAUCCAGGUCAAUUCUCCGAGGCAGGGAGGAUCUUUUGGGGUCAAUGACCGCUGUUGCUUCCAGGUCUGAUUCUCUCCACCCACUUCCCUCUGUCUAGCUACUGUUACUGUUACUGUUACUAUUUUCACAGGAGACAGGAAGUUGCCCUCUCCCAGCCCAACGCAUCACUUCCUGCUGCUUAUCAGGCGGUGGCAGGCUUGUCCUGGAGCGGCUUCUACCCAAACAGAAGCCUGGACUUAUUAAUGCGAGCACGAGUGAGAAAAAGACAGAAAGGGUCUGUGUGAUAUGUGGAGCCUCGGGGUGUGGAUGUGUGUGUCAGGCUGUGGAGGUUAAGGUCAGGACAGAUCCCUGACAGGGGUGUAACACGCUCUUUGAUGACAUCUGGAUCUGGUUUCACCUUCACGUUCCACCGGCUGUGACAGACCGGCCAA